GACGAACGCUGGCGGCGUGCCUAAUACAUGCAAGUAGAACGCUGAAGAGAGGAGCUUGCUCUUCUUGGAAGAGUUGCGAACGGGUGAGUAACGCGUAGGUAACCUGCCUUGUAGCGGGGGAUAACUAUUGGAAACGAUAGCUAAUACCGCAUAACAAUGGGUGACCCAUGUCAUUCAUUUGAAAGGGGCAACUGCUCCACUACAAGAUGGACCUGCGUUGUAUUAGCUAGUAGGUGAGGUAACGGCUCACCUAGGCGACGAUACAUAGCCGACCUGAGAGGGUGAUCGGCCACACUGGGACUGAGACACGGCCCAGACUCCUACGGGAGGCAGCAGUAGGGAAUCUUCGGCAAUGGGGGCAACCCUGACCGAGCAACGCCGCGUGAGUGAAGAAGGUUUUCGGAUCGUAAAGCUCUGUUGUAAGUCAAGAACGAGUGUGAGAGUGGAAAGUUCACACUGUGACGGUAGCUUACCAGAAAGGGACGGCUAACUACGUGCCAGCAGCCGCGGUAAUACGUAGGUCCCGAGCGUUGUCCGGAUUUAUUGGGCGUAAAGCGAGCGCAGGCGGUUUGAUAAGUCUGAAGUUAAAGGCUGUGGCUCAACCAUAGUUCGCUUUGGAAACUGUCAAACUUGAGUGCAGAAGGGGAGAGUGGAAUUCCAUGUGUAGCGGUGAAAUGCGUAGAUAUAUGGAGGAACACCGGUGGCGAAAGCGGCUCUCUGGUCUGUAACUGACGCUGAGACUCGAAAGCGUGGGGAGCGAACAGG
rnacentral:rRNA from 1 species